rnacentral:rRNA from 1 species
GCUGGCAGCUAACUCUCUGCAACUCUCACAUGGUUGCCCACUGAAGCUAAGCAGGGCUGAGCCCGGUAAGUACCUGGAUGGGAGACCACAUGGGAAAGCUAGGUUGCUGAGGCCAGCA